rnacentral:lncRNA from 1 species
GCUUUAGGAAGCGGAAGACUAAUGACCGAAGCUUCAAGACUUUGACAUGUGUGAAAACAUGAAAUGACCCUUGGCUCUUAUUGUUCUUGCUGGUGUGGUAUGUUCACGGCUGAAAAGAUGGUCAGAAGGGGAAAGGAGGAAGUGAGAAGAAAGAAACAGGGAAAUGGCUGAGGAAUUACCAAGGAGGCAGGAGGUGGAGCAAAACACACCAAGCCUGGUGCCAAUCAUUGACAAUAUUAUGACCCUGCAUGUGAUGGAUCAGCUGACACCAUCCAGAUCGGUAAACUGGUUCAUCUGAUCUUGUGCCCUCCACCCAGGAACUGACUCAGCGCAAGAAGACAGCUUCGACUCCUUGUGAUUUCAUCCCUAACCAAUCAGCACUCCUGGCUCACUGGCUUCCCCCAACCCACCAAAUUGUCCUUAAAAACUCUGCUCUCCAAACGCUGGGGGAGACUGAUUUGAGUAAUAAUAAAACCCUGGUCUCCUGCA